UGACAGACUUUGAUCAUGGCUCAGGAUGAACGCUAGCUACAGGCUUAACACAUGCAAGUCGAGGGGAAACGACAUCGAAAGCUUGCUUUUGAUGGGCGUCGACCGGCGCACGGGUGAGUAACGCGUAUCCAACCUGCCCAUCACUUGGGGAUAACCUUGCGAAAGUAAGACUAAUACCCAAUGAUAUCUCUAGAAGACAUCUGAAAGAGAUUAAAGAUUUAUCGGUGAUGGAUGGGGAUGCGUCUGAUUAGCUUGUUGGCGGGGUAACGGCCCACCAAGGCUACGAUCAGUAGGGGUUCUGAGAGGAAGGUCCCCCACAUUGGAACUGAGACACGGUCCAAACUCCUACGGGAGGCAGCAGUGAGGAAUAUUGGUCAAUGGACGAGAGUCUGAACCAGCCAAGUAGCGUGCAGGAUGACGGCCCUAUGGGUUGUAAACUGCUUUUAUAAGGGAAUAAAGUGGGUCUCGUGAGACUUUUUGCAUGUACCUUAUGAAUAAGGACCGGCUAAUCCCGUGCCAGCAGCCGCGGUAAUACGGAAGGUCCGGGCGUUAUCCGGAUUUAUUGGGUUUAAAGGGAGCGUAGGCCGGAGAUUAAGCGUGUUGUGAAAUGUAGACGCCCAACGUCUGCACUGCAGCGCGAACUGGUUUCCUUGAGUACGCACAAAGUGGGCGGAAUUCGUGGUGUAGCGGUGAAAUGCUUAGAUAUCACGAAGAACUCCGAUUGCGAAGGCAGCUCACUGGAGCGCAACUGACGCUGAAGCUCGAAAGUGCGGGUAUCGAACAGGAUUAGAUACCCUGGUAGUCCGCACGGUAAACGAUGGAUGCCCGCUGUUGGUCUGAAUAGGUCAGCGGCCAAGCGAAAGCAUUAAGCAUCCCACCUGGGGAGUACGCCGGCAACGGUGCAACUCAAAUGAAUUGACGGA
rnacentral:rRNA from 1 species